rnacentral:rRNA from 1 species
AGUCGAACGGAAAGGCCCGCUUGCGGGUACUCGAGUGGCGAACGGGUGAGUAACACGUGGGCAACCUGCCCUCAGCUUUGGGAUAACUCCCGGAAACGGGUGCUAAUACCGAAUAUUGACAUUUCCUCGCAUGGGGGUUUGUUGAAAGUUUUUCGGCUGGGGAUGGGCCCGCGGCCUAUCAGCUUGUUGGUGGGGUGAUGGCCUACCAAGGCGACGACGGGUAGCCGGCCUGAGAGGGCGAUCGGCCACACUGGAACUGAGACACGGUCCAGACUCCUACGGGAGGCAGCAGUGGGGAAUAUUGCGCAAUGGGCGGAAGCCUGACGCAGCGACGCCGCGUGAGGGAUGAAGGUCUUCGGAUUGUAAACCUCUUUCAGUAGGGACGAAUUUAGACGGUACCUGCAGAAGAAGCACCGGCCAACUACGUGCCAGCAGCCGCGGUAAUACGUAGGGUGCGAGCGUUGUCCGGAAUUAUUGGGCGUAAAGAGCUCGUAGGCGGUUCGUCGCGUCGAAUGUGAAAUCCCGGGGCUCAACUCCGGGUCUGCAUUCGAUACGGGCGGACUAGAGUUCGGUAGGGGAGACUGGAAUUCCUGGUGUAGCGGUGAAAUGCGCAGAUAUCAGGAGGAACACCGGUGGCGAAGGCGGGUCUCUGGGCCGAUACUGACGCUGAGGAGCGAAAGCGUGGGGAGCGAACAGGAUUAGAUACCCUGGUAGUCCACGCCGUAAACGGUGGGCGCUAGGUGUGGGGGACUUCCACGUUCUCUGUGCCGCAGCUAACGCAUUAAGCGCCCCGCCUGGGGAGUACGGCCGCAAGGCUAAAACUCAAAGGAAUUGACGGGGGCCCGCACAAGCGGCGGAGCAUGCUGAUUAAUUCGAUGCAACGCGAAGAACCUUA